rnacentral:lncRNA from 1 species
CUCAGUAUUCACCACGACAAGCCGCUUCCACAUUUGUAGGCAUUUUGUUACAGCAGCAUUCCACUUCUCACUACUAAUUUCUGUUUAGUUCAUUCUUACUGCAAGAACAAAAUACUUCACACCGGGUAAUUUAUAAAUAAUGGAAAUACAUUUCUCACAGUUCUGCAGACUAGGGAAGACCUGGAUCAAGGUGCUAUCAGAUUCAGUGUUGAGUGAGGACUCGCUCUCUGCUUCCAAGAUGGUGGCUUGUUGCUGAGUUCUACAAAGGAUAAGGGUCCAAACAUUGUGUCCUCACAUUGCCGAUGAGAUGCAUGGGCCAAACUGCUCUCUGAAGCAUCUUUUAAAGUCAUUAAUUCCAUUCAUGAGGCCAGAAUCCUCAUGACUUCAUCACUUCCCCAAAGGCCCUACCUCAAUACCACCACAGUAGGGAUUAAGUUUUAACAUGAAUAUUGGAGGGGCACAUUAAACCAUAGCAGUGCUCUUUGUUGAAUUUUGUCAAGUAUAUAUGGUUGUGAAUUCACUACCACAAUAAAAUAUAGAGCAUUUACAUCUCCCAAGAAGACUCUCUCAUGCUUCUUUGCAAUGAAUACUCUCCCAUUCCCAAUUCUUGGCAACACCAAUCUGUUUAUAGUAACUCAAAUUUUGAUUCUUAUAGAAUUUGAGAUAAAUAGUAUUAUACAGUAUCUAGUCUUCUGUGUCUAGAUUGUUUCAUUUAGCGAAAUAAUUUUGAGAUUCAUCUGUGCUGUUUGAUGUUUCCAUUGCUCAUUCUUUCUAUUACUGAGUUUCAUUUCACUGUAUGAAUGCAGAAGGGUUUAUUUAUUCACUGGUUGAUGGACACUUGGGUACUCUCCAGUU